AGGGGGGCUUGCCCUAUCACUUAGCGGCGGACGGGUGAGUAAUGCUUAGGAAUCUGCCUAUUAGUGGGGGACAACAUUUCGAAAGGAAUGCUAAUACCGCAUACGUCCUACGGGAGAAAGCAGGGGAUCUUCGGACCUUGCGCUAAUAGAUGAGCCUAAGUCGGAUUAGCUAGUUGGUGGGGUAAAGGCCUACCAAGGCGACGAUCUGUAGCGGGUCUGAGAGGAUGAUCCGCCACACUGGGACUGAGACACGGCCCAGACUCCUACGGGAGGCAGCAGUGGGGAAUAUUGGACAAUGGGCGCAAGCCUGAUCCAGCCAUGCCGCGUGUGUGAAGAAGGCCUUAUGGUUGUAAAGCACUUUAAGCGAGGAGGAGGCUACUGGAGUUAAUACCUUCAGAUAGUGGACGUUACUCGCAGAAUAAGCACCGGCUAACUCUGUGCCAGCAGCCGCGGUAAUACAGAGGGUGCAAGCGUUAAUCGGAUUUACUGGGCGUAAAGCGCGCGUAGGCGGCUAAUUAAGUCAAAUGUGAAAUCCCCGAGCUUAACUUGGGAAUUGCAUUCGAUACUGGUUAGCUAGAGUGUGGGAGAGGAUGGUAGAAUUCCAGGUGUAGCGGUGAAAUGCGUAGAGAUCUGGAGGAAUACCGAUGGCGAAGGCAGCCAUCUGGCCUAACACUGACGCUGAGGUGCGAAAGCAUGGGGAGCAAACAGGAUUAGAUACCCUGGUAGUCCAUGCCGUAAACGAUGUCUACUAGCCGUUGGGGCCUUUGAGGCUUUAGUGGCGCAGCUAACGCGAUAAGUAGACCGCCUGGGGAGUACGGUCGCAAGACUAAAACUCAAAUGAAUUGACGGGGGCCCGCACAAGCGGUGGAGCAUGUGGUUUAAUUCGAUGCAACGCGAAGAACCUUACCUGGCCUUGACAUAGUAAGAACUUUCCAGAGAUGGAUUGGUGCCUUCGGGAACUUACAUACAGGUGCUGCAUGGCUGUCGUCAGCUCGUGUCGUGAGAUGUUGGGUUAAGUCCCGCAACGAGCGCAACCCUUUUCCUUAUUUGCCAGCGAGUAAUGUCGGGAACUUUAAGGAUACUGCCAGUGACAAACUGGAGGAAGGCGGGGACGACGUCAAGUCAUCAUGGCCCUUACGGCCAGGGCUACACACGUGCUACAAUGGUCGGUACAAAGGGUUGCUACCUAGCGAUAGGAUGCUAAUCUCAAAAAGCCGAUCGUAGUCCGGAUUGGAGUCUGCAACUCGACUCCAUGAAGUUCGGAAUCGCUAGUAAUCGCGGAUCAGAAUUCCCGCCGGGGCCGG
rnacentral:rRNA from 1 species